GCCGUGAGAGGGACGGAUUCCGACGAUCUCGCGAUCGCUCCGUCCCACGUCGCGCAGCGGUUUCCUAAACCGCGUGCGGAGGUUCGAUUCCUCCCGGGGGCA
rnacentral:tRNA from 1 species